GGAAUCUUAGACAAUGGGCGCAAGCCUGCUCUAGCCAUGCCGCGUGUGUGAUGCAGGCCUUAGGGUCGUAAAGCACUUUCGCCAGAGAUGAUAAUGACGGUAUCUGGUCAAGCAACCCCGGCUAACUCCGUGCCAGCCGCCACGGUAAUACGGAGGGGGUUAGCGUUGUUCGGAAUUACUGGGCGUAAAGCGCGCGUAGGCGGAUUAGAAAGUUGGGGGUGAAAUCCCGGGGCUCAACCCCGGAACUGCCUCCAAAACUGCUAGUCUAGAGGUCGAGAGAGGUGAGUGGAAGUCCGAGUGUAGAGGUGAAAUUCGUAGAUAUUCGGAGGAACACCAGUGGCGAAGGCGGCUCACUGGCUCGAUACUGACGCUGAGGUGCGAAAGUGUGGGGAGC
rnacentral:rRNA from 1 species